rnacentral:rRNA from 1 species
AGCUCCAAUAGCGUAUAUUUAAGUUGUUGCAGUUAAAAAGCUCGUAGUUGGAUUUCGGGUGUGGGGCGCCGGUCCGCUUCGGUGUGCACUGGCGGCCCAGGCCUUCUUGUCGGGGAUGCGCUCUGGUAUUGAUUUAUCGGACGCAGAGUCGGCGCAGUUACUUUGAAAAAAUUAGAGUGUUCAAGGCAGGCUUUGAGGCUUGAAUACAUGAGCAUGGAAUAAUGGAAUAGGACCUCGGUCCCUAUUUCGUUGGUUUUACGGACCGAAGUAAUGAUUAAGAGGGACAAUUGGGGGCAUCCGUAUUUCGUAGUCAGAGGUGAAAUUCUUGGACCUACGAAAGACGAACAACUGCGAAAGCAUUUGCCAAGAGUGUUUUCAUUAAUCAAGAACGAAAGUACGC